UACAGAGGGUGCAAGCGUUAAUCGGAAUUACUGGGCGUAAAGCGUGCGUAGACGGUUACAUAAGUCGGGUGUGAAAGCCCCGGGCUCAACCUGGGAAUUGCAUUCGAGACUGCGUAGCUAGGGUGCGGAAGAGGGAAGCGGAAUUUCCGGUGUAGCGGUGAAAUGCGUAGAUAUCGGAAGGAACACCAGUGGCGAAAGCGGCUUCCUGGUCCAGAACCGACGUUCAGGCACGAAAGCGUGGGGAGCAAACAGG
rnacentral:rRNA from 1 species